rfam:Sorghum bicolor cultivar BTx623 chromosome 3, whole genome shotgun sequence.
GUAGUCGGAUUUACACCAAUCCACAUGUGUUGGGGUGGAUUGAAGUGGAACUUGAACUAAAUUUCACCUCCAUUCACCCCAACCCAAGUGGAUUGAGGUGAAUCCGGUA